CGGGCGCCCGCUGACUGAAGAAAGUGGAACGGGUGUGCUGUUUCCUGUUUACUUCGGGGUAGUUACCUUAGAGGUCACCAUUGUUACCGAAACACCAGGUUCGAUAGUUCUCUGCUUCUUACCCUUUUGAAAACAGACAUAGUGAGUAUUAGAGUUCUAUCAGAGGAGCAGAACUGCUGGCCGAAGGUCAAAUCACAUUGUCAAUUGGAGGAAGCAGGAAAAUCGGCAACUGCAAGGAUGAACUGGGAUCCAUGAGAAUGGACUGGAAUCUGCGUUGGUUUCUCCCUGGUUCCAAGGGUUCAACUUUGACUGUGGAGGUGAUCUGCAGGAGGAGCCAGUCCUUUGUCAUAGACCCAAGUGUUGCUGAAGUUUAAAGAGAAGACCUGGCAGGCGUUGAAGAAGGUCUGGGCCUGGCUGUCACCCCACACCUACAAGAUGAGCUGGCAGAAUAGGUGACAGUUUGCAUGAUCUGCAGUAUUGCCUUGUGCCCACUGAUCUUGGUAUAAAAAGUAUAAGAAUGCUGUUCCACUUCCACCUUCCAAAUCUCAGGCAAAAUGUCUCUGUGGCCCAUGCUAUCCUGGAACUACUCAGGAGAAAGUGGAAAUGUAGUCCUGCUUAUCUAAGUUGACAAAAUAAAAAUUAACCACAGUAAAUAAAUUGUAUGGUAUGUUAAAGUCAGUAAAUGCUGUGGAGAAAAAUAAGGUAGGGGAUGAGAAGUGCCUGGGGGGUAGAAACUGUAAUUUUAAAAAGAGUGCCCAGGAACGGUCUCACUGAGAAGGUGACAUUGAAGAAGAUGAGGAAGUGAAACAUACUGGUAUCUGGAAGAAGAAUAUUCUAAGCAACCACUGCUUCCUGACUGCACCAAACCUGGUGUGGUAGACAGCCUUUUACAAGGCUCCUAGUGUUCCUCCCCUAAGUUACUCCCUCCCUUAUGCAAUCCCCUUCCUUUGAGUGGCAAAGUGAUGAGACGUCACUUCUGGGAUUAGGUUUAAGAGACUGACUAGUGUCUUGCUACCAUUCUUUCUCUUGCCUUUUGGGCUUGCUUGCUUUGACGAACCAAGCUGCUAUACUGGAGAGGCCUAUGUGGCAAGGGACAGAGAGUGGCCUCUGGCCAGCAUCCAGUAAGGAACUGAGGCUGUCAGACCAACAGCCUGUGAGGAACUGAAUCCUGUCAACAACCAGGUGGUCUUGGCAAUGGACACGAUGUUAGAGGGUGACACUUUGGCCUCAGCCAUCAUCCGUUUUCUGCUGGCAUAGUAUGAAUCUCGUCAAGUGCAGUCUUAGUUCUGGAUACCAGAAGUCCAAAAUCAAGAAGUCAGCAGCAUUGGUUCCUUCUGGAGGCUCUGAGGGAGAAUCUGUUCCAGGUCUCUCUCCUAGCUUCUGGUGAUUGCUGGCAAUCCUUGGUGUUCCUUGGCUUGGAGACACAUCACUUCAUCCUUGGCUUCCAUCUUCAUGAGGACCCUGGGCUGCACUAUCAGUUUGCCCUCUGUCAGGGCUGGACACUGAGUCGCCAAGGUCAGUUGCAUGGAUGUUCCCAGCCUACGGUGACCGAUUCCCAGCAAAACCUUGGACACUCAGAUUGGUGGCUUUGGGACAUGGAAGACAGCAUCCUUGAUGACUUCUCUAAGAAGGCAGCAUCAGGAAUUGCAGCAUUGAGGCCCCCUUCAAACAGAUGUCAGGUGACCAAGUCAUACCAAGCUGUCCUGUAUUUUAAGAAGAACAAAUCGUUCUACGGAAAAUGAAGGGAGCCCAGAAAGCUCAAGAGCUUGGAGACGGUAUAUGGCAAUUUUCACCUUGAGAUGUAGGAAUGGAGGCCCAAAGAUAUUAACUAACUUGGUCACAUAAUUAUGUAGCGGACACCUAGAUCUUGAAUCCAGGUCUUCUGAUUGUGAAAGCCACUCUCCUCCCAGGUUAUUGGUUUGUCUUCUCAUCCACAGCAGAGUUCAAAAUGAGCACCGCUUCCCCACAGAGCAAGUGCUCUGAGCAAUGGAGCAGAUCACCUGCCUCCGGAUUUUCUUUCUACUAUCAGGAAGUCUCCAUCUACAUGGUUAGGAAGAUGGAUGCCUAAAGCCACAGAUGCAGAUCCUCCCAGUGGCUACAUCAUAUCUUCUACAACAUGACAAAUACAUUAAUUCAUCAUCUGAACUAACACUUCCCACGUGGGAUAACUAGUGCAGCCAACAUUUGAGUGCCUUCCAUGUGCCAGAUGCAUAUGAUGCAUUUUGAGGAGUUCAAGAGUUCCCAAGGUGUUUAAAGGAGACAGUGCAUGCUAGGACUCAGAUACCGGCUCUUCCAUUAUUUCAAAGCAGUUAAAAAACAAAAAAUGUUCACAUAAUUCUGAAAGCACCAUGUUGGCCUCAAUCAAAGAAUUGAAGUUUCACUGAAGGGGGAGAAAGUGGUGCCCACUCCUUUAUACGUGAACAGGUGGCAGGGAGUUAAAGGACCAUUUGUGAAGAGACCUCCACUGAUGCUAACUACCAGCCUUGAACCAGCCAAGAAUUGAAGCAGAGCAUCCAUGUUAAUCUUCUUCAGAGCAAGAUGGAAACAUACUGAUACUGUGUUACUUACAAAUUGAAGGUUUGUGGCAACCCUCUGUGGAGCCAAGUCUAUCAGUGCCAUUUUUUUCAACAGCAGUUGCUCACUUCGUGUCUCUGUGUCAUAUUUUGCCUUUUGAAGUGAUGAACUACAUUCAUUAUUUUCAAAUGUUGAAUCAGCCUCGCAUAUCUGGGGCAUUCAACUCAUUUCACUCUAAUGACUGCUUUUGCUGCAUCCCACACAUUUUGACUGAACCACACGUUGCCAGCAAAUAUAGGCACUAAAAGAAGCUCUUCUUACCCUCUACAGUCCUACUCAUUUCAUUGACUGAUGCUGUCUAUACUUUUGAUUUAAAAAAAACUGAUGUUCACAUCAAUGACUUCAAGCAGAUGGCUUUAUUCAUCUUGCUUUUUUAGACGUACCUUUCUUGUUUAUUAAGAAGAGAGCUUAUUCUUUGUUUAAUAUUCAGCACUCUAUGGGUGCUCUUUGGUAGCAUGGUAGCAGAUGGAAAUCCUGAGUCAUUCCUCCUGGUAUAUUGAAGAUCAUCAAGAUACCACUGAAGGCUUUAAACAAGAUUUGGAGAGGGGAUGAAUGAUGAGGAUGACUGUUUCCUCCAUGAAGUCUGGAGCCUCCCAUAGGAAGAAUCAAAGCCUGGAGUUGACUUGAAUGCUGGGAGCUAGAAUUAUCUGGAAGCUUUUUCAGCUCCAUUCUGGCUCCAGGAGUAGGAUGACUUGAGUUUGCUGACAUGAGCACAUGCCCUUCUCCUGUGGCUUGGCUGGUGUUUUGCUUUCUAAACAGCUGAAAAAAAAAAAAAAAAAGUUACAAACCGUGUUAUCAUAACACUUAGGCUGAAUUUGCUUAAAAAUUAAUUUAACUCAUUAAUGAGCAUACCAGCAGGAUGAUAACCUACAUCCCCAAUAAGACAUUUUCUAAAGUCUCCCUAGCUCAAGAAGUUAGAAUCUAACUAAAGUUGAGAUUCCGCGUUUUGAUUAAUAUGAACUAUAAACACUAUAUAACAAAUGGUGGUUCUAAAGGAUACAUGCUCAUUAGUAAUAUAAUAUUCUAAGAUUUCCUUUUUGGCUGCAUUAUGAAUUAUGUAACAGCACAAUUUUUCUGUGCAAAAUUAUCAGUAGAGAUGCAAACAAUUUAAUUAUAAAUGGAAAUUUGGAAUGCAACCAUUUUUCAUUUAUAGCUGCUAAUCUAUAGAGGUAAAUGGCUAUCAGUCAAGAACACAGGUUUAUACAUAUAUCUUGAUUACUUAGGUUUGAGGACUUUAUUUUUCUUUUCACAUAACCAACACCAGAUUUCAUAAUCAAAAUAGGUAGAUUCUUUUGUAGUUUCACUGAUUUUGCCAUAUGAAAAAAAAUUUUUUUCUGCUGUGAUAUUUUCAUGUGAUACUAAGUCUCUAAUGUCUAUAUCAGUUGCUUAUAAUUU